UUUUCCUUGUACUCCU
rnacentral:sRNA from 1 species